UCCAUUAAGCCUUUUUUCAACUUUUGACCUCGGAUCAGGUAGGGAUACCCGCUGAACUUAAGCAUAUCAAUAA
rnacentral:rRNA from 1 species